AUUUAAAUAGUUUAAAAUUAAAAUUCUAAUUUGUGAUAUUAGAGAUAUAAAAUAAUUAUUUUAAAUU
rnacentral:tRNA from 1 species